rnacentral:tRNA from 1 species
CAUUAAGUGACUGAAAGUAAGUAAUGGUCUCUUAAACCAAUUUAUAGUAUUUAACAAUUACUCUUAUUGA